rnacentral:rRNA from 1 species
UACAGAGGUCUCAAGCGUUGUUCGGAUUCAUUGGGCGUAAAGGGUGCGUAGGUGGCGCUGUAAGUCGGGUGUGAAAUUUCGGAGCUUAACUCCGAAACUGCAUUCGAUACUGCGGUGCUUGAGGACUGGAGAGGAGACUGGAAUUCAUGGUGUAGCAGUGAAAUGCGUAGAGAUCAUGAGGAAGACCAGUGGCGAAGGCGGGUCUCUGGACAACUCCUGACACUGAGGCACGAAAGCUAGGGGAGCAAACAGG